UGACAUUUGACUGGUUUAUCUACGUAAUUAAAAAAUGCUACGAUUCAUAAAAUAAGACCACAGAAUUUUGCAGAGGAUAUGAAAAACUUGAUAAAAGUUGGCAAAUCGGAAGUGGAAAAGUGAUUUGACUGAAGUGGAUAAUUUGGUGCUGAAUAUUUUGGGUAGAAAUACUCCGGGGGUGGUGGGCAUGAUAGGCGUGUCAUCGGAUAGUGAAGAUGCCGAUGAAGAUACAUGUAAAAGGGCAGUAUAAAUCCCCACUAAAAAAGAAAAUAAUUCAAUUGACGAUGAAAUAAAAGUACUAGAUAAGCAAAAAAAAAUCUCUCAAAUCUAGUUAAUGCGCAAACAUAUAAAACUCAGUUAGAAUGCCUGGCUUUAGAAAGACAGCUUUAUUUACCUUCUACGACUGUAACAGCAAAUUUAACAUAUUCCGGCUUGUCAUAGAUGCCAAAGGAAAUAUCUUAUCCCGAAGAAGAUGAUAAUCAUUCAAAUAUUAUCACACAGGUGAUGGUGGUAAAAUUUAUAGAAACAUAAAUUAAAUAAACUAAAUAAUUUAAACUAGAUAAAUUUAAUUUAUUUAUGUUCUCCCCUAAGUAUUCAUGAAAUAAAUAUAAUUUUCUAAUUUAA